rnacentral:rRNA from 1 species
GCCUAACACAUGCAAGUCGAACGCGGUUGCUUCUGCUUCGCAAGAAGCAGUGGCAACUGAGUGGCGAACGGGUGAGUAACACGUAGGUAACCUGCCUCUAAGAUCGGGAUAACCUGUCGAAAGACGAGCUAAUACCAAAUGAGACCACAGCUUCUUCGGGAGCAGGGGUCAAAGGUAGCCUCUACUUGUAAGCUAUCACUUAGAGAUGGGCCUGCGUACCAUUAGCUAGUUGGUGGGGUAACGGCCCACCAAGGCAAAGAUGGUUAGCUGGUCUGAGAGGAUGAUCAGCCACACUGGAACUGAGACACGGUCCAGACUCCUACGGGAGGCAGCAGUGGGGAAUAUUGCGCAAUGGGCGAAAGCCUGACGCAGCAACGCCGCGUGAGUGAUGAAGGCCUUCGGGUCGUAAAGCUCUGUCGGAGGGAACGAAUGUUUCCUGGGUUAAUAGCCCUGGGAAGUGACGGUACCCUCAAAGGAAGCACCGGCUAACUCUGUGCCAGCAGCCGCGGUAAU